UGGGGUUUACCAGAUUAGAGAUUUUGUUCCUGAUCAGAAAAUCUCUACUCGUGUGGAAGAUUCCGUAUGAGACGGAGGGAGGGAGGUAGGAAGGGAGGGAGGAUCUGUUUGAUUUCAUGCAGCCUCGCGUAAGAAACUCUAUCAAGGGGAGAAAUGGUGUAUAGCUGGACUUCGAUGUAUGCAUUACUUUGAUCUUGUUUGACAUAAAUGUCAGUGAUUUUCCUCUUCAUUAGGUCCUAGACAAUGAUAAAAGCUCACGACAAUCUUUUUAAAUCUGCAGAGGCAUUUGCUGUUUGUGAGAACUAUCCUCCCCCUGAAGGAUUUAACCCGAAGGACUUAACAUCACCUUUUAGGAAAGAUUGGGAGUCCAUCUGGAGUUGAUGACCUAAAUUGCAGUAGUGGAUGGUUGGAGGGGCCGAACAAGGUGUACAUUCCAUUUCUAGCCUGCGGUGACCUCAGUGGCCAUGACUCCGACCGAUCGUACCCGCUCCCUAAAGCGCCCGACGGGACUCACAAGAGCCUUGAUCCUGUGCAACCCCCAAUCGCCCCUCCUUACAAGAGGGCUCUGGAGUUGAAGAAAGCCUCUUGUCAUGGAGUUGAAGAACUCGAAAAGCUAUCCUUGGAUUCCUGAUUCUUGCCAUUGGAUGUUGCUUUAAUUUCACAAAGACCUAGAAGUUAAUGUGUCCGUCUGUCAGCAAGUUAUUGAAUGAUGGACAUGAGUUCUGCGUAAAUUGAAGCCCCUUUUCUCAUAAGGAACACUAGCAAUCUCUCCAUAUGUUUGCUGUGUAGAACACGCGAAGACUCUGUCCCUCUUUUUCAUUUUCUCUGUGAGAGACAGGUUAGGGGUGGCGAAGAACUCGUGCGGACGCAUUUAAGCGUAGUCAAAAAGAUGGAGAGAAAGCUGUUGCCAAGAGGGACGCUUGGUCACGCUUUAGAAUUGGAGGUGGUCCUGACAAUGCUUUUCUUUGAAUAUAUGUCCGGAAAAAGGCCGAUCCUAAUGUCUAAAUGGGCCAAUCGAGAA